rnacentral:rRNA from 1 species
AGCGAACGCUGGCGGCAGGCUUAACACAUGCAAGUCGAGCGGCCACUUCGGAGUCAGCGGCUGACGGGUGAGUAACACGUGGGAACGUACCCUUUGGUUCGGAAUACCGCUGGGAAACGAGCGCUAAUAUCGGAUACGCCCUUUUGGGGAAAGGCUGGCUGCCCAAGGAUCGGCCCGCGUCUGAUUAGCUUGUUGGUGGGGUAAUGGCCUACCACGGCGUCGAUCAGUAGCUGGUCUGAGAGGAAGGUCAGCGACACUGGGGCGGAGACCCGGCCGAGACUCCUACGGGAGGGGGGAGUGGGGAAUAUAGGACAAUGGGGGCAGGGAUGAAGCAGUCAGGCCGGGAAAGUGAUGAAGGCCGUAGGGUAGUAAAGCUCUUUUGUCCGGGACGGUAAUGACGGUACCGGAAGAAUAAGCCCCGGCUAACUUCGUG